UGACUACUCCCUCCGUCCGAAAAUACUUGUCAUCAAAAUUGAUAAAAAGAGAUGUAUCUCGAACUAAAAUACGUCUAGAUACAUCCUCUUUUGAUGAAAAGUAUUUUCGGACGGAGGGAGUACUUA
rnacentral:pre_miRNA from 1 species